GCAUCUAGAUUCUAGAAAAAUAAAAAAAUCGUAAAAAUAUUCCAGACUUAAACUCCACUCAUCCUCUGAAAUCCCUACCCAAAGGGCCUAAACCCUCUCAAAUUCAUCUCCAAAAGAAUGACUCUCCGCCCUCUGAAGUUUUCUCUCAACCUUAAAUCUCUUUAUUCAAGCUGCAAUUUCUCAGGUUUGUUCUUUCUCAUCUUUCAAUCUGCUUACUUUUCUUUUUUGUUUAUUUAGUACUGAAGCUUCUAGUAGUUCUUAUUUAUUUUGUAAAAUUCUCUGUUCGUGGCUUAGGAUCACCUUAAAUUAAUUUUUAAUUUGAUUCGAAAUAGGUUUUUAAUUUAUCUGUCAUCGGUUGCUUCUAGUAUUGGGUCGACGAAUAAAAGCUAGCGUUUUCUUGCUUUUCUAGAUCUGGUUCUUCAGCAGUAAUCUAUUGAAGUUUUUUCUAUGUUUGGGUUAUAUAUCCUUUUGUGAACAUAUAAUUAGUGAAGAUUCAAAGCGUUUAAGAGUUCAACUGUACCAGGUAAUCCUUUGAGAACUCUCUGUUUGUUUUAGCAAUACAAGGUCGCUUUAUAAAAUUAGUUCAUCUGCUUGUGGCUCCUUCUCGCCAUAGCUUGGCUAGGCAGAAUAAGGCUCUCUCACAAGAAAUUCAUCUACUUAAUUCACUCUCAAACAGGAAAGGAAAAUGAUACAUAGCUAUUUGUGUGGCUAAAAAUUGAUAGCCUUAAAAUUUUGGUUGUUUUGUACUUCAAAUUGUUGUUUAAUUUUCCUUUUGUUGGUUCAGUGGUUUGAAUGGUGAGUGAUGUGUUUUAUGAGAUUGAUGUCCUAUUCAAGGAUGGAUUUCUAUUAUAGAAAUUGUGAAUUUAUGGGAACCCAAUUGAGGAUGGCAAAUCUAGUCGUCUUCCACACUCCAUGACAGGUUCUUUCUCAUGGCUUUGUACUUGUUUUCUUGAUUCAGGGGUAAAAUUAUAUUAUUUAUGGUUAUAUUCACGUUUACUAGAGGAGAAAAAGGGUGAACUUUAAUGAGUUGUAGGUAUUUGUUUUUUUCUUUCUUUUCAUUACAUAUAGCUUCUUACAUUAGGAGUAUAAAAAGAACAAAUUUGUGAUGAACAUAGUAAAUUUGUUCCAGAAGAUGCUCACUCUUGAGCAAUAAAAAGUUUUUGAAACAUGUACAUGUAAGCUUGUUAAAUAAUUCUGACAUGUAUGUUCCAUUCCCUUUCUUUGCCAUAGCAAAUAUCUGUUCCUUUUCUAAGCUAGAAGGGAACGGUUAGCAGUCAUUAGAACCUUUAUCUGUUGGAAGAAGGAAGCUCUUAAAAUUAUAUGCAUACGACAGCGAAACGUUAAACCUUAGAAGCUCAAAAACAGAGAUACAGAACAACGAGACUAUUUUCUUGAUAACUAGUAAGAUUAUUUUGUUGAAAUUGCUGCUUCAUUGAAACAGAUACAUCAAGAUCAUGUAAGUCCUAUUGAUUCUAACUCAAGUAUGAAUUCCAUUAUCCUUUUUCUUGAAUCAUUACUGGUUUAGUUUGAGUAAUAGUUUUUCGGACUCGUUUUCUUAUUUUGGUAGUACUAAUUAAGCUAUGAUAUGGCAGGCAGUAAUCUCAUCAUCUUGCAAAAGUUUUGGAGAACCACUGUCAGAAUGAUUGCUUCAUAACCCAUCUUUUGAAGACUCACAUACAAGUUUUGAAGACUUCAUACAAGUUAACAAGUUGAUUAUCAUUUUGGCAGGACUGUUAGGCAAAAGGUUACCUUAUUUUCAAAGGAUUUAGUUUUUGUUAAGGCAAAGUUUUAUAUAUUUUUUUACAUUUGGAUGUUAGUUUUUCUUUUUUCCCCUAAGGGGUUGUGUAAGAAAUAUAGUGACUUAUACCAUGAUCGUACAGUGAUACUAAUGAGAUUCUCCAAGGGUUGUGUAACCAAUAUAGUGACUUAUACUAUGGUCGUACAGUGAUAUACUAAUGAGUUGUUAGUACAAUACUUGUAACUAAUUUUAUAUAUGAAAUUCAGAUAUUAUUGAAUUUAUUGA